rnacentral:sRNA from 3 species
UUAUAUUCCCCAAUGGGGGGGAUGAGAAUCCCCGACCGGGGGUCGACAACGGGCGCAGCCCGUUGGACGGAAUGGCCGCAGGCCAUGACGCCCGCAGGGCGAGCGAAGCGAGUCAAUCCCCCCCUCACCGCCA